GAUGAACGCUGGCGGCGUGCCUAAUACAUGCAAGUCGAGCGAAUGGAUUAAGAGCUUGCUCUUAUGAAGUUAGCGGCGGACGGGUGAGUAACACGUGGGUAACCUGCCCAUAAGACUGGGAUAACUCCGGGAAACCGGGGCUAAUACCGGAUAACAUUUUGAACCGCAUGGUUCGAAAUUGAAAGGCGGCUUCGGCUGUCACUUAUGGCCGGACCCGCGUCGCAUUAGUUAGUUGGUGAGGUAACGGCUCACCAAGGCAACGAUGCGUAGCCGAACUGAGAGGGUGAUCGGCCACACUGGGACUGAGACACGGCCCAGACUCCUACGGGAGGCAGCAGUAGGGAAUCUUCCGCAAUGGACGAAAGUCUGACGGAGCAACGCCGCGUGAGUGAUGAAGGCUUUCGGGUCGUAAAACUCUGUUGUUAGGGAAGAACAAGUGCUAGUUGAAUAAGCUGGCACCUUGACGGUACCUAACCAGAAAGCCACGGCUAACUACGUGCCAGCCGCCGCUGUAA
rnacentral:rRNA from 1 species